AAUCAAUCAUCCACAAAAUACACCAAACAUAUAGUUUCACGUCGUCUCGGACAAUACCAAAACAUCAACAAAUACAUUGUUCAGAUUAUGGUCAUGACGGAACCUGCGUUGUUCAUUUAAUAGUCAUGACGGACUCUGCUCCUCACAUACGGAUUAACAAUCAACAUUUACCAAGUAUGUGUCAAACAUCAUUUAUCAUAAAAUGCACACAAAAUCCCUAAUACAAUCUAAUGCUUCACAUUCAUGUUAUGUCCUCUAGACACCUCUAAUGCAUGUGGUACCAUCGUCUUUAUCAGGGUAUCUCACCUCCGAUAUCCGUCUUUAUCAAACAAAUAUAGUUCGAUAUCUUUCUUUAUUGGACAAGCCAAUAUCCCUAAAUAUUCAUGAUGCAUGCACUCAAAACUCAUGAAUAUAUACAUCAACAAUUAUGGCAUAUAGCCCAUCAACA
rnacentral:lncRNA from 1 species